rnacentral:rRNA from 1 species
CCUACGGGAGGCAGCAGUAGGGAAUCUUCCACAAUGGACGAAAGUCUGAUGGAGCAACGCCGCGUGAGUGAAGAAGGUUCUCGGAUCGUAAAACUCUGUUGUGAGGGAAGAACAAGUACCGGAGUAACUGCCGGUACCUUGACGGUACCUCAUUAGAAAGCCACGGCUAACUACGUGCCAGCAGCCGCGGUAAUACGUAGGUGGCAAGCGUUGUCCGGAAUCAUUGGGCGUAAAGCGCGCGCAGGCGGUCCCUUAAGUCUGAUGUGAAAGCCCACGGCUCAACCGUGGAGGGUCAUUGGAAACUGGGGGACUUGAGUGCAGAAGAGGAAAGCGGAAUUCCAAGUGUAGCGGUGAAAUGCGUAGAGAUUUGGAGGAACACCAGUGGCGAAGGCGGCUUUCUGGUCUGUAACUGACGCUGAGGCGCGAAAGCGUGGGGAGCAAACAGGAUUAGAUACCCUGGUAGUCCACGCCGUAAACGAUGAGUGCUAAGUGUUAGGGGGUUUCCGCCCCUUAGUGCUGCAGCUAACGCAUUAAGCACUCCGCCUGGGGAGUACGGUCGCAAGACUGAAACUCAAAGGAAUUGACGG